rnacentral:rRNA from 1 species
AUACGUAGGGUGCGAGCGUUGUCCGGAAUUACUGGGCGUAAAGAGCUCGUAGGGGGUUUGUCGCGUCGUCUGUGAAAUUCCGGGGCUUAACUCCGGGCGUGCAGGCGAUACGGGCAUAACUUGAGUACUGUAGGGGAGACUGGAAUUCCUGGAGUAGCGGUGAAAUGCGCAGAUAUCAGGAGGAACACCGGUGGCGAAGGGGGGUCUCUGGGCAGUAACGGACGCUGAGGAGCGAAAGCAUGGGUAGCGAACAGGAUUAGAUACCCUGGUAGCCCAUGCCGUAAACGGUGGGCGCUAGGUGUAGGGGUCUUCCACGACUUCUGUGCCGUAGCUAACGCAUUAAGCGCCCCGCCUGGGGAGUACGGCCGCAAGGCUAAAACUUAAAGGAAUUGACGGGG